rnacentral:lncRNA from 1 species
CCCGAAUUUAUUUUAAUUUCCUUCUUUGUAUCGUAUAUUCCAGUAUCCGUCAAUGCCAGAUGAGUCUAGAGCCUUUGUGAACACGACACGCGUAGCAAUACGAUUCUCCGGAUCUCUGAUGGAAUCUUCUAGCGAGAUCCGUGGGAGGUAGACAAUACCGAGACUGCAGAUACCUCCCGUACGCUAACGGCGGCGAGUUCGGCGGGGAAAGCGUGACGGAGAACGGAGAGUUCGGAGAUCGAUCGCCGCCGCCACCGCUUGAAGACGACGGCGAUUUUUGACUACGAGGAGGCGAUAAAACGGCUUUGAUUUUGGAUCCUGAGACGCGAUUGUACAAUUCGACGAUGUUCGCUAGCUCCUCGUCCGAUUUGACGGAGAUUAGAGUCUCGAGAUCGCCGUUAGGUAACUGACAUCGGAGAUCGACGGAGUAUCCGCAGAAUUCAAGUAGUUUCUUCGUGAGCUCUGUGAGGAAAAAAAAAUCAAAAUCGAUUCGAUUGAUUAUAAACAGAGAUUGAAACGAACCUUCGAAAGAGAUGGAAGGAUCGAGGGAGAGGACUCUGGUGUGACCUCCGACGUAACGGAGCUUCCCGUCGGUGGAACGAGGGAGGAUUUUGCCGCCGUAGCUGCAUAGAAACUUAAGACUGCUUCCACUUUUCUUCUCGUUAGCAUCAACGGCCACCACCAUUGUUAGGGGUUUUUGCUUAAGUUUGUUUUUGAUUUUUUUAUUUUUUUUUUGGCAGGAUAGGAGAGAGAAAGUGUUUGUUAUUUGUUUCUUUGGUGUUUUAAACCGAGAUGAAAGGUUGCAGAUGGUUGGCUUUUAUAGGGAGGGAGUGACGUCACAUAUGGGACCCAACGCGUAUGGAGGAUGCGAAAUUCGUUGAACCUUCUAUGGGUAUUUUGGACAAUUUUGUUUCCAUAACGGAAUAUUCUCUAAUUAAAUGCCAUUGAGUAGAAUAGAUAUAUAAUACAUUAAAAUUUUUAUUUUACAUAAUAUUGGCUGCUGGUUCUUCACCAAUCACUAUCAUUGUGUACUAAAAUCACAUGAAAAUUGAUUUAUCAAAUAUAUUGGUUGAUCUUUUUUUUUUUGCAUUUGAUAGGAUCUUCUUUGGCUACUAGCUUUAUUAUGUUUCAAAGGUAAGAUGUGCCAAGUCUGACCUUGUAGGCCAUUUAGUUUCUGCAUAUGACAUACGAAUGGCUCGAUUUCAUAAAGAAAAAAUUAGAGUCAAGUCAAAUUAAUAUUUUGUCAAUUGUUUGAAAAAAAGCAUAUUAUGAUAUAUUCCUAAAACAUGUACUCCUCGCAAGUCUAAAGAUUCCAAUAGUUAGUAUGAACAUUUCAAACCGUAUGCAUUUAGCACUUGAAUUUAGCUCCACACCUCUAGUCUUCAAUUUAUACAGAUUUUAAUAAAUCGUUUAUAUCCCCCCCCCCCACCCCUCCACACAAAUUCCCCUGCUCACUCUUCAGUAUUCACACUAUUGAGCACUCGAAUUUAGCUCCAUACCUCUAAUAAUUUAUUUAUCCAAAAAAGGACAUAAACAAUUGGUUAAGCCCAUUAAGUGGUCACUCACGGCCCAUCUCUAGUGACACCAAAAUAAAUAAAAUUCGCGCUUUAAAGAAAAGAACAAAAUAAACCACGGUGAAAAUUAGGGUUUCUAAUCUGGGAAAAUUUACAGUGUAAAGAAGACGUAUCGUUUAUAAGUAUCUUGGCUUAUUACCUUUGCGGCCCCUUACGUAUCUCUCUAUCUGCACUCUCUCUAGCAUCGAAUCCGAUUCAAAGUUUACGCAACACCUAACGAUCCAAAAAGCAACGAUGAGCUCCCAUGAUCGCCGAUUCGCUGAUCCCAAUUCGUAUCGUCAACGCUCUCCGUAAGUGAAAACACCAUUUCCAAAUUCAUUUCCUUCGAUCUGUAACCGUAACCGUAACCGUAACCGUAACCGUAACGUAACCCUUUCGUUUUAUCUCUCUCUCUCUCUAUGUAGCGCACCGGUUCGUUCGUCUCAGCCGAUGGAUCCUUCCGCCGCACCGUACAAUCCACGCUACAGCGGCGGCGGUGUUGGAGGAGGAGGAGGAUACAGACCGGCUCCUGUAAUGUCCGGUGACGGUUCAGGGUACGGUCAUUACCCGUCUUUUCACCCGCCUAGUAAUGGCUUCUCCGUCGGUCGCGGCGGAGGAAGAGGCGGUUACGGUGGGUACGGGGGUGUGAGGGGUGGGUACGGUGGAGGAGGAGGACGCGGUGGAUCGGGUAGAAGAGAGCUGGAUAGCGUUUCUCUUCCGAAACAGAGUUUUGGGAAUCUGGUUCAUUUCGAGAAGAAUUUCUACGUGGAGAGUCCUGUGGUGCAGGCGAUGACGGAGGAGGAUGUUGCGUUGUAUAGGACUGAGAAGGAUAUAUCUGUUGAAGGGCGUGAUGUUCCUAAGCCUAUUAAGAUGUUCCAAGAUGCUAACUUUCCAGGUUAUUGAUUGGUUCUGUCAUUGGUCAUAAGUGUUUUUGGGAAUGUGAUUUUAGAUGUUAUCUCUUCUGAAAUUUGAGUGCAAGUAUGCAGCUUUGUUCAUUAAGCGCCGCCCUCUAAUGAGGUCUUCUGUUGAAGUUGAAUUCGAUGUUUUGAAAUGAGUGCAAGUAUACUGCUUUUGUUCAUUGAGCGCCCACUAGUGAUGUCUUCUGUAGAAAUGAGUGCAAGUAUGCUGAUUUGUUCGUUAUACGCUCUCUAGUGAUGCUUAGUUUGUUCUUGGUUCAGUGGUUUGAUUUUGUAGACUUAUCUCUUUUGUUAUCUGAGUUAGAUGACAUCUCUUAUGUUGAAGUUGAUCUCGAUGUUCUGUAAUUUGAGUGCGAGUAUGCUGCUUUGUUCGUUAAACGCUCUCUAUUUAUGCUUAGUUUGUUCUUGGUCUAGUGGUUUGAUUUUGUAGACUUAUCUCUCUUAUUAUCCGUUUGAUAAAUAAUAUUCUCAACGUAAUGGCCCUCUAGUUGUUCACCUAACAGCCUCUAGUUGUGCUUAGUUUGAUAUGUGUUGGUUUCGGUUUAGUGGUUUGAUUUUGUUGACUUAUCUCUUUUUGAUAGAUAAUAUUCUCGACGCAAUUGCUAAGUUGGGAUUUACGGAGCCAACACCUAUACAAGCUCAGGGAUGGCCAAUGGCUUUGAAGGGUAGGGAUUUGAUUGGUAUUGCUGAGACUGGCUCUGGUAAGACUUUGGCUUACUUGUUACCAGCGUUGGUCCACGUAAGUGCACAACCUCGAUUGGGUGAGUAUUUUUUACUACAAUAUAUUGAUGACUAUUUGGAACAUGUUUGGUUACUUAUGUGUAUCGUUGGGGUUUAUUAGGUCAAGAUGAUGGACCCAUCGUUUUAAUAUUGGCUCCCACGAGAGAAUUAGCAGUUCAGAUUCAAGAGGAAUCAAGGAAGUUCGGGCUGCGAUCUGGUGUUAGAAGCACUUGUGUCUAUGGAGGUGCUCCUAAAGGACGUCAGAUUCACGAUCUUAGAAGAGGUUCAUUCUUGUUAUUGCAAUAUUGUAGCUUUUCAUAUCUGGUUCUUUGAUGGAACAGAAAACAUUACGAAUUAUUAUUGUCUUGUCAGGUGUUGAGAUUGUAAUUGCUACACCUGGUCGUUUGAUCGAUAUGUUGGAGUGCCAACACACUAAUUUGAAGAGGGUGACUUACCUUGUGCUGGACGAGGCUGACAGAAUGUUAGACAUGGGAUUUGAACCCCAAAUUAGAAAGAUUGUGUCUCAGGUAUGCUUUUACUUCCUCCAAAGCUAGCAUCUAUAUCGUCAUUAAGACUGUAUCUAAGCAUUUGUAUUCUGCUACUUAAAAACUUAUGGUUUUAAAUCUUAAUGAACAUUGUUAUUUUCAUUUGGUAGAUCCGACCUGACAGACAGACACUGCUUUGGAGUGCAACAUGGCCACGAGAAGUUGAAACUCUCGCCAGGCAGUUUCUACGAGAUCCGUACAAGGUCUACUUCAUAUAUCUUUCAACUUAUUCAGUUUUAGUAUACUGUCAUAAAUUAAGUAGGAGCUGUUUAUGUUUGUGCACUGAAAAUAAUUGUAAUGACACAGGCCAUUAUUGGAUCAGCUGAUCUAAAAGCUAACCAGUCUAUUAACCAAGUAAUCGAGAUUGUACAGACGCCAGAGAAAUACAGCAGGUUCUUAAUUGUUCUGUAAACUGGAGAAGAAUCGAUUUUCAUAUAUCUCUCCCUUUUUCGGAUAUGAUGCUUAUGCGACUUUCUUCUUUGUUAGGCUCCUUACACUGCUUAAGCAGCUAAUGGAUGGAAGUAAAAUCUUAAUCUUUGUGGAGACAAAGAGAGGUUGUGAUCAAGUGACCAACAUGAUUUUUAAGAAUAAGUCCAUUAGAUCUAUUUUUUAAAAAACAAUCAAAGUCGUGAAUUAUGUUUUAAUAUAUAAGAUAAUCAAAUAAAAAUAUAUUAAUUAGAGAUAAACGUAAAAUUUAAUGAUGUUCAAUGCAUAUAAAAAGCUAAAACGAUAAUAAAUAAAAUAUUCAACUAUUUUCUUUUUUUUCUCAAGUGUGACUAAAAAAUUGAAACAAUAACAUAAUUACUUCUGUCAUUAUCAAAGAAGCCAAAAAGCCCAAGACAAAAAUAAACCUCGUUAAGUAAAAAAAAAAAAUUAAACAACGCUGAUAUGUGCUGAACUAACCAAUCCACUAGCCUACACGCGUGUAAAUCUCGCACAGUGACACGCUAAAAUCUCUCAUUGUUCGCCACGUACCACGUAUAUAAAACCAACGUCGUACGUGCAAACACGUGGUAACUGCAACUCUUAACGGUUCGUAACGGUCAAAAAUUUCCGUCACGUUCUCCGUCUAAAUUAUAAUUUCACCGCUGGUCACGUCUCCCACCAUUAAUGGAAAAGGAAAAAAUUAAUUCUCUCUUCUCAAAACAAACACAUCGUAAAAAUUUCAAUUUCUUAAUUUCGCAUUUUCCCGAAUUUAUUUUAAUUUCCUUCUUUGUAUCGUAUAUUCCAGUAUCCGUCAAUGCCAGAUGAGUCUAGAGCCUUUGUGAACACGACACGCGUAGCAAUACGAUUCUCCGGAUCUCUGAUGGAAUCUUCUAGCGAGAUCCGUGGGAGGUAGACAAUACCGAGACUGCAGAUACCUCCCGUACGCUAACGGCGGCGAGUUCGGCGGGGAAAGCGUGACGGAGAACGGAGAGUUCGGAGAUCGAUCGCCGCCGCCACCGCUUGAAGACGACGGCGAUUUUUGACUACGAGGAGGCGA